ACGAACGCUGGCGGCGUGCUUAACACAUGCAAGUCGAACGGAAAGGCCCUGCUUGCAGGGUACUCGAGUGGCGAACGGGUGAGUAACACGUGGGUGAUCUGCCCUGCACUUCGGGAUAAGCCUGGGAAACUGGGUCUAAUACCGGAUAGGAGCCAUUUUUAGUGUGAUGGUUGGAAAGUUUUUUCGGUGUAGGAUGAGCUCGCGGCCUAUCAGCUUGUUGGUGGGGUAAUGGCCUACCAAGGCGGCGACGGGUAGCCGGCCUGAGAGGGUGGACGGCCACAUUGGGACUGAGAGACGGCCCAGACUCCUACGGGAGGCAGCAGUGGGGAAUAUUGCACAAUGGGCGCAAGCCUGAUGCAGCGACGCCGCGUGGGGGAUGACGGCCUUCGGGUUGUAAACUCCUUUCGCUAGGGACGAAGCUUUUUGUGACGGUACCUAGAUAAGAAGCACCGGCUAACUACGUG
rnacentral:rRNA from 1 species